GUGACAGCCAUGAAGGGUGAAGUCCCGUGUUUAUGCAUAGUUAGGUGCAGACAGGGCGGGGGCACAGUGGAAGUUUCCCCACAUUGUGUCACCACUGUAUCUCAACCCAGUCCUGGAGGGACCAGCUGUAGAGGCAAGGGUAGUUCAGUCUCUGCAGCUAUUCAGUCCCUUGUUCUC
rnacentral:sRNA from 1 species